GGAAGACUCUGAAGACCUUGGAUUCUGUGAUCAGUGGAACAGGACCUGGAGCCAGCAGAAGUCUCACAGGCAGCCAUGCACAAGUGGAGGCUCAUGAUGACAAACAAGAGCCACACUCAACUGGAGUCACAAGGCACAAUGAUGAUGAUGAUGAU